rnacentral:rRNA from 1 species
GUACACAUGCAAGUCGAGGGGCAGCAUGGUCUUAGCUUGCUAAGGCCGAUGGCGACCGCGCACGGGUGAGUAACACGUAUCCAACCUGCCGUCUACUCUUGGACAGCCUUCUGAAAGGAAGAUUAAUACAAGAUGGCAUCAUGAGUCCGCAUGUUCACAUGAUUAAAGGUAUUCCGGUAGACGAUGGGGAUGCGUUCCAUUAGAUAGUAGGCGGGGUAACGGCCCACCUAGUCUUCGAUGGAUAGGGGUUCUGAGAGGAAGGUCCCCCACAUUGGAACUGAGACACGGUCCAAACUCCUACGGGAGGCAGCAGUGAGGAAUAUUGGUCAAUGGGCGAGAGCCUGAACCAGCCAAGUAGCGUGAAGGAUGACUGCCCUAUGGGUUGUAAACUUCUUUUAUAAAGGAAUAAAGUCGGGUAUGGAUACCCGUUUGCAUGUACUUUAUGAAUAAGGAUCGGCUAACUCCGUGCCAGCAGCCGCGGUAAUACGGAGGAUCCGAGCGUUAUCCGGAUUUAUUGGGUUUAAAGGGAGCGUAGAUGGAUGUUUAAGUCAGUUGUGAAAGUUUGCGGCUCAACCGUAAAAUUGCAGUUGAUACUGGAUAUCUUGAGUGCAGUUGAGGCAGGCGGAAUUCGUGGUGUAGCGGUGAAAUGCUUAGAUAUCACGAAGAACUCCGAUUGCGAAGGCAGCCUGCUAAGCUGCAACUGACAUUGAGGCUCGAAAGUG